rnacentral:rRNA from 1 species
AGAGUUUGAUCCUGGCUCAGGAUGACCUCUAGCGGCAGGCUUAACACAUGCAAGUCGAGGGGCAGCGGGGAGGAAGCUUGCUUUCUCCGCCGGCGACCGGCGCACGGGUGAGUAACACGUAUGCAACCUGCCCCUGUCAGGGGGACAACCCGCCGAAAGGCGGGCUAAACCCGCGUACAUGCCACCGGGGCAUCCCGGAGGCAGGAAAGGCUUCGGCCGGACAGGGAUGGGCAUGCGGCGCAUUAGGCAGUAGGCGGGGUAACGGCCCACCUAACCGACGAUGCGUAGGGGUUCUGAGAGGAAGGUCCCCCACACUGGUACUGAGACACGGACCAGACUCCUACGGGAGGCAGCAGUGAGGAAUAUUGGUCAAUGGUCGGGAGACUGAACCAGCCAAGUCGCGUGAGGGAAGACGGUCCUAUGGAUUGUAAACCUCUUUUGUCGGGGAGCAAAAGACGCCACGUGUGGCGUUCCGAGAGUACCCGAAGAAAAAGCAUCGGCUAACUCCGUGCCAGCAGCCGCGGUAAUACGGAGGAUGCGAGCGUUAUCCGGAUUUAUUGGGUUUAAAGGGUGCGCAGGCGGAAGAUCAAGUCAGCGGUAAAAUUGAGAGGCUCAACCUCUUCGAGCCGUUGAAACUGGUUUUCUUGAGUGAGCGAGAAGUAUGCGGAAUGCGUGGUGUAGCGGUGAAAUGCAUAGAUAUCACGCAGAACUCCGAUUGCGAAGGCAGCAUACCGGCGCUCAACUGACGCUUAUGCACGAAAGUGUGGGUAUCGAACAGGAUUAGAUACCCUGGUAGUCCACACAGUAAACGAUGAAUACUAAUUGUUCGAGGAGAAUGAUCCCUGAGUGAUACAGCGAAAGCGUUAAGUAUUCCACCUGGGGAGUACGCCGGCAACGGUGAAACUCAAAGGAAUUGACGGGGGCCCGCACAAGCGGAGGAACAUGUGGUUUAAUUCGAAGCAACGCGAAGAACCUUACCAGGGCUUGACAUGGGGGCGGCCGGUGUAGAGAUACACCUUCCUCUUCGGAGGCGCCCCACACAGGUGGUGCAUGGUUGUCGUCAGCUCGUGUCGUGAGAUGUUGGGUUAAGUCCCGCAACGAGCGCAACCCUUGUCAUUAGUUGCCAUCAUUAAGUUGGGCACUCUAAUGAGACUGCCGGUGACAAACCGGAGGAAGGUGGGGAUGACGUCAAGUCAUCAUGCCCCUUAUGACCUGGGCUACACACGUGCUACAAUGGACGGUACAACGAGAAGCGAACCUGCGAAGGCAAGCGGAUCUCUUAAAGCCGUUCUCAGUUCGGACUGUAGGCUGCAACUCGCCUACACGAAGCUGGAAUCGCUAGUAAUCGCGGAUCGGCACGCCGCGGUGAAUACGUUCCCGGGCCUUGCACACACCGCCCGUCAAG